GACGAACGCUGGCGGCGUGCUUAACACAUGCAAGUCGAACGGAAAGGCCCCCACUUUUUUGGUGGGGGUGCUCGAGUGGCGAACGGGUGAGUAACACGUGGGUGAUCUGCCCUGUACUUCGGGAUAAGCUUGGGAAACUGGGUCUAAUACCGGAUAGGACCAUGGUUUAGUGUCUCAUGGUGGAAAGAUUAUUGUUUUGGUGCAGGAUGAGCUCGCGGCCUAUCAGCUUGUUGGUGGGGUAAUGGCCUACCAAGGCGUCGACGGGUAGCCGGCCUGAGAGGGUGGACGGCCACAUUGGGACUGAGAUACGGCCCAGACUCCUACGGGAGGCAGCAGUGGGGAAUAUUGCACAAUGGGCGCAAGCCUGAUGCAGCGACGCCGCGUGGGGGAUGACGGCCUUCGGGUUGUAAACUCCUUUCGUUAGGGACGAAGCCACAUUUUUUUGGGUGUGGUGACGGUACCUUUGUUAAGAAGCACCGGCUAACUACGUGCCAGCAGCCGCGGUAAUACGUAGGGUGCGAGCGUUGUCCGGAAUUACUGGGCGUAAAGAGCUCGUAGGUGGUUUGUUGCGUCGUCUGUGAAAUUCCGGGGCUUAACUUCGGGGUGGCAGGCGAUACGGGCAUAACUAGAGUGCUGUAGGGGAGACUGGAAUUCCUGGUGUAGCGGUGGAAUGCGCAGAUAUCAGGAGGAACACCGAUGGCGAAGGCAGGUCUCUGGGCAGUAACUGACGCUGAGGAGCGAAAGCAUGGGGAGCGAACAGGAUUAGAUACCCUGGUAGUCCAUGCUGUAAACGGUGGGCGUUAGGUGUGGGGACCGGUUUGGUUUCUGUGCCGUAGCUAACGCAUUAAGCGCCCCGCCUGGGGAGUACGGCCGCAAGGCUAAAACUCAAAGGAAUUGACGGGGGCCCGCACAAGCGGCGGAGCAUGUGGAUUAAUUCGAUGCAACGCGAAGAACCUUACCUGGGUUUGACAUGCACCAGACGGUUGUAGAGAUACGUACCUCCCUUUGUGGUUGGUGUGCAGGUGGUGCAUGGUUGUCGUCAGCUCGUGUCGUGAGAUGUUGGGUUAAGUCCCGCAACGAGCGCAACCCUUGUCUUAUGUUGCCAGCACUUUGGGUGGGGACUCAUGAGAGACUGCCGGGGUUAACUCGGAGGAAGGUGGGGAUGACGUCAAAUCAUCAUGCCCUUUAUGCCCAGGGCUUCACACAUGCUACAAUGGUUAGUACAACGCGCUGCGAACCUGUGAGGGUGAGCGAAUCGCUGAAAGCUAAUCUCAGUUCGGAUUGGGGUCUGCAACUCGACCCCAUGAAGUCGGAGUCGCUAGUAAUCGCAGAUCAGCAAUGCUGCGGUGAAUACGUUCCCGGGCCU
rnacentral:rRNA from 1 species